rnacentral:rRNA from 1 species
UGGGGAAUAUUGGACAAUGGGCGCAAGCCUGAUCCAGCCAUGCCGCGUGAGUGAUGAAGGCCUUAGGGUUGUAAAGCUCUUUUGCCGGGGACGAUAAUGACGGUACCCGGAGAAUAAGUCCCGGCUAACUUCGUGCCAGCAGCCGCGGUAAUACGAAGGGGACUAGCGUUGUUCGGAAUCACUGGGCGUAAAGCGCACGUAGGCGGAUUUGUAAGUCAGGGGUGAAAUCCCGGGGCUCAACCUCGGAACUGCCUUUGAUACUGCGGGUCUUGAGUCCGAUAGAGGUGGGUGGAAUUCCUAGUGUAGAGGUGAAAUUCGUAGAUAUUAGGAAGAACACCGGUGGCGAAGGCGGCCCACUGGAUCGGUACUGACGCUGAGGUGCGAAAGCGUGGGGAGCAAACA